rnacentral:lncRNA from 1 species
AAUCAAGCCUGGGCAAUGGCGGGCGCCCCUCCCCCAGCCUCGCUGCCGCCUUGCAGUUUGAUCUCAGACUGCUGUGCUAGCAAUCAGCGAGACUCCGUGGGCGUAGGACCCUCCGAGCCAGGUGCGGGAUAUAUUCUCGUGGUGCGCCGUUUUUUAAGCCCGUCGGAAAGGCGCAGUAUUUGGGUAGGAGUGACCCGAUUUUCCAGUGAGAUGAACCCGGUACCUCAGCUGGAAAUGCAGAAAUCACCCGUCUUCUGCGUCGCUCACGCUGGGAGCUGUAGACUGGAGCUGUAGACAGGAGCUGUUCCUAUUCGGGCAUCUUGGCUCCUCCUUGACAAGCUUGAAGGUGAGCACCUCGAAGGGCUUCUUUUUAUGUUGAAAGGCACGGGUUUGCAUGGCGGUUCAUCAGAGGUCAAUACCCCAGUUUGAGAAAGUCCACUGUGGGGAGGAAAGAGAGACUUAAACAAGCCCUGGAAAAACAAAGAAUGGAACACCCCUCCGCUGACUUCAACCAACUGCCUGCUGAUGCGGCCUGACUCCCAGCCCUUUUUGCAGUUUUGAAGUGACAAACUGACUAGGCUACAAAGUAUUCAACCAUGGGCUGGUUCUGGCUGGUUCACCGAGGCUGUGUACAAAGUGUCUUCAUGUCCUGUGUUUCACCUUUUAACAUACAGAACCUAAUUUUACUGCAUUUUAAUGUUAAUUCUCCACUCGAAGGUGAACAUGGGAUGUAUGUAACACAUAUGUUUGCUUAUCAAGCACACAUAUGACCCCCUUUCAUGAAUAUUCAUAGUUCCCCCUGUGACCUGUUGAAUAUGUCUGUUUAGCCAACCUGUUUGGCAUAAAACUCCUAUCCCACCCUAUCUCCCUCAAAGUACCUGUUUGUGGUCUCAGCUGGAGGUGCCACUUCCCAGCCUGCAGUUUGCAACCCUUCUCAAGAAAUAAAGUCUUCCUUUCCAA